AUGGAGCUGUUUGAUGAGGCGGCUGGGCUGAGAACCAACAUGAGCAAAUCAACAACUCUACCCAUAAGGUCUUCCGAGGAGGAGAUAACAAUGACAUGCAAUGCCCUCCAGUGCUCUUUGGGAUCCUUCCUAAUAAAAUAUCUCGGGUUGCCACUAUCGCUUAGAAAGCAAUCAGCAUCACAACUACAAUACUUGGUUGACCAUAUGGCCAAUAGACUACCAAGGUGGAAGGCAUCACUAAUGCCGAAGAGUGACAGUCUAACUCUGGUGCAAUCUGUGCUAUGCGCCAUGUCAAUUAAUGCAAUGAUGGCAGUACUGGAUCUCCCUAUGAAAACUAUCGCGACCAUGAACACGAUUUGUUGA
rnacentral:rRNA from 1 species